AUGACGAGACCAGGCUGUGUGAGGGGUGAACGCGGUUAAUAGCGCUGA
rnacentral:snoRNA from 2 species